rnacentral:rRNA from 1 species
AAUCAACGCUGGCGGCGUGCCUAACACAUGCAAGUCGAGCGAGAAAAGGGGAGCAAUCCUCUGAGUAAAGCGGCGCACGGGUGAGUAACACGUGGGUAAUCUGCCCUGGAGUGGGGAAUAACACCGGGAAACCGGUGCUAAUACCGCAUACGAUCACGAUGUCUGCGGACGUGGUGAUGAAAGGAGCAAUUCGCUCCAGGAGGAGCCCGCGGCCGAUUAGCUAGUUGGUGAGGUAAUGGCUCACCAAGGCUACGAUCAGUAUCCGGUCUGAGAGGACGGUCGGACACACUGGUACUGAGACACGGUCCAGACUCCUACGGGAGGCAGCAGUGGGGAAUAUUGCACAAUGGAGGAAACUCUGAUGCAGCAACGCCGCGUGAGGGAAGAAGGUUUUCGGAUUGUAAACCGCUGUUUUUAGUGAAGAAAAAAAUGACGGUAGCUAAAGAGGAAGCCACGGCUAACUACGUGCCAGCAGCCGCAGUAACAC